rnacentral:rRNA from 1 species
AGUGAACGCUGGCGGUAGGCCUAACACAUGCAAGUCGAACGGCAGCACAGUAAGAGCUUGCUCUUACGGGUGGCGAGUGGCGGACGGGUGAGGAAUACAUCGGAAUCUACUUUUUCGUGGGGGAUAACGUAGGGAAACUUACGCUAAUACAGCAUACGACCUACGGGUGAAAGCAGGGGAUCUUCGGACCUUGCGCGAUUGAAUGCGCCGAUGUCGGAUGAGCUAGUUGGCGGGGUAAAGGCCCACCAAGGCGACGAUCCGUAGCUGGUCUGAGAGGAUGAUCAGCCACACUGGAACUGAGACACGCUCCAGACUCCUACGGGAGGCAGCAGUGGGGAAUAUUGGACAAUGGGCGCAAGCCUGAUCCAGCCAUACCGCGUGGGUGAAGAAGGCCUUCGGGUUGUAAAGCCCUUUUGUUGGGAAAGAAAAGCAGCAGGUUAAUACCCCGCUGUUCUGACGGUACCCAAAGAAUAAGCACCGGCUAACUUCGUG